UACGUAGGGUGCGAGCGUUGUCCGGAAUUAUUGGGCGUAAAGGGCUCGUAGGCGGUUUGUCACGUCGGGAGUGAAAACUCGGGGCUCAACCCCGAGCCUGCUUCCGAUACGGGCAGACUAGAGGUAUGCAGGGGAGAAUGGAAUUCCUGGUGUAGCGGUGAAAAUGCGCAGAUAUCAGGAGGAACACCGGUGGCGAAGGCGGUUCUCUGGGCAUUACCUGACGCUGAGGAGCGAAAGUGUGGGGAGCGAAUGGG
rnacentral:rRNA from 1 species